rnacentral:lncRNA from 1 species
UAAAUGUUGGGUCGAGAAGGGUUUCAUAUAGAAUGCUCUUCUAUUCACUUCUCUUCUCCACUUUCCUCAUCCGCUUUGUGUUUCUGUUAACCACUGUCGAUGACAUUGAUGGAGAUGUCAAAUGCUCGACAAUUGGUAACUUUCUUGAUUUCACUUUACAUCUAUCUUUUUUAUCUAUCUAUCUAUUUUUAUCUCUCAUUAUAUUUCACAUAAGUAUGUAUAGUACAUUUAAAAUGAAACAACCACAUUUGUAAAUUCUUCCAACUCCCCAAGAGAACUCAAUAAUUUGUCAUAUAACAAAUAUAUAUAGAUAUGCCACAUUCAUGUAUCUAAAUACUUUCACAUUAGUAUGUUUCAGUACUCUUAGUUUCAUUUUAAAUUACUAACAUUUCUAUUACAAUAGCACUUCACCUCAAAAAAAAAAAAUUUACAAAUAGCACUCUUUACCCAGAAAAAAACAAGGUUUACGGUAGUACUGUAUCUUUUGUUAUUAUUAUGUCAAGAAAGUUGAGACCAACAAUAUGAUAUCAUGUCAAAAGUUACUAACACAAAUUAGAUUCAUUGAGACUUGAUUAAAUAUUAAGUUUAUCCAUGUAAACUACAUGAAGGUACAUGCAUCAAGUUUUAGUUUUGUAUAGAGAAUAUAUCAAAAGUUUAUCAUUAAAAUAAAAAACAUCGAUAAAAAGUAAGCAUCUGGUUUAUUAUAACUUAAAAAGUUGUCUGCUUUUUCCCUUGGGAAAAGUGAACAUGUCAGUUUAAGUUUUUCUUGGUUUGGUAAUUCCUUCAAUUGGCUUUAUCCCCUGCUCAUUAGUAAAUAACCUAUAAUAUAUUAUCUACUUAGACUGGAUAUAUAAUAUUUAGUGAUUUGAGUUUUAGAAUAAAAUCCAAAUGUCUCUUGGCGGUUAAUUUUUUUGGUAAAAGAAAGGGAUAGAUUAGAAUAUUGCUGACAUAAUUAAAAAAAUUGUUUCUGAUUAUGUAUGUUUUUGGAUUCAUGUGAAUGCACCGACCAUAACAGAAGAUGUGAAUCUCAAAUCUGAAAUUAUGAAAAAAAAAUAAAUAAAUAACCAGGAAGAACUUCAAAAACAAUUGCUAUCUAAUCUCUUGGUUAUUUGUCAAUAUCACCUUAAAGUUCAAGCUACAAAAUAUUCACGUUUAAGAAAGAUCAAUUAAAAUAGAUGAAUAGUUAAUUUACUUGGUGUUUGGUGCAACAGCAACUCUGUUAUCACCACCUGGCUAUAUCUUCUUAAUUACUAAAAACAGUUGCUAUAGAUAAUAAAUAGUUAUGAUGACAUAAAAAGUUAUUUUUUUUAUUGGUUUGAUAUUGAUAUCUAUAAUGGUAAUGGUAGGUUGCUUGGGAAAAAGACUAGGACCAAGGAUUCUGGGGAGAAAGCUGGAGUCAAAUGUAAUCUACCAACCUGUAAAUUUGCUACCCAAACAUGACUUAAUUGAUUUAUUAAGAGCUUGAUUUAAACUAACGUGGGUUUUCUAAAUAGGUCCCGGAAGUUAUGUACCACGUACUAGAAGAACCGCUUAGCCAAGAAGAACUAAAAGGAAGGUCUGACAUACCUCAGUCACUGGAAGAAUUCAUGGCUGAAAUGAAAGAGACCAAAACAGAUGCAAAGACAUUUGCGGUCAAGCUUAGAGAAAUGGUACAUCCUUCUCUUCUUCCUUUCAUAUGAUAACUGAGGUUGAUGAAUAUAUUUAUCUGGAAAUAAAUUUGGCACUUCCUCAGGUCAUCCUUCUUGAACAAAGAACAAGAACAGCCAAAAUCCAAGAAUAUCUAUACCGCCAUGUAGCAUCAAGCAGCAUACCUAAACAGCUCCACUGUCUGGCUUUGAGACUUGCCAGCGAACACUCCACCAAUGCAGCUGCCCGCCUCCAGCUCCCGUCCCCAGAGCUUGUCCCAGCCCUUGUUGACAACUCGUACUUCCACUUUGUCCUUGCCUCAGACAAUGUCCUUGCAACAUCUGUGGUUGCUGCAUCCUUGGUGAGAAACUCGUUACACCCCCAGAAAGUAGUCCUGCACAUCAUAACAGAUAAGAAAACUUAUUUCCCGAUGCAAGCAUGGUUUUCGCUGCAUCCUUUGACGCCUGCAAUCAUUGAGGUUAAGGCACUUCAUCAUUUCGACUGGUUGUCCAAGGGUAAGGUGCCUGUACUGGAAGCAAUGGAAAAAGAUCAACGUGUUCGGUCACAGUUCAGAGGGGGAUCAUCUGCAAUUGUGGCAAACAAUACUGAGAAGCCUUAUGUUAUAGCAGCAAAGCUUCAAGCACUUAGUCCUAAGUACAAUUCAGUAAUGAAUCAUAUCCGUAUACAUUUACCAGAGGUGAUCAAGAUUCUUAUCCAUUCUAUUUUUGAAAGGAAAACACAGUAAAGAAAAGGGCUUGACCCAUCUUUCUUUUAGUUCACAGCCCUGAUACAAUUUCUUCUGCAGUUGUUUCCCAGUCUCAACAAGGUGGUAUUCCUCGAUGAUGACAUAGUGGUGCAAACUGAUCUUUCACCUCUAUGGGACAUUGACAUGAAUGGGAAGGUUAAUGGAGCCGUGGAGACAUGUAGAGGUGAAGACAAGUUUGUGAUGUCAAAAAGGUUCAAGAGCUACUUGAACUUCUCCCACCCUCUGAUAGCAAAGAAUUUCAAUCCUGACGAAUGUGCAUGGGCUUAUGGCAUGAACAUUUUUGAUCUAGAAGCUUGGAGGAAAACCAACAUAAGCUUGACAUAUCACUCCUGGCUUGAAGAGGUAAUUCCUAUUGCCAACCACAUUGAUCUUAUUUUCUCAAAACAAGAUCUAUCAGGUUGGCCACUGCAGAUCACCAAGAGACUUUCAAUCAUCACCCAUAUUAUUGCAAUAUCCUUCAAAAAAGACCGGCCAUAUUUGUGCUAUAAACUGAAAUUGACUGUAAAAGCAACAUCUUUUUUUCUUACCUUGCAAAUUGAAGUUAUUAAUUACACUUACCAAUCUACGUACUUCUUUUUCAUGCAGAACUUGAAAUCAGAUCUGAGUUUGUGGCAACUUGGUACUUUGCCUCCUGGUCUAAUAGCAUUCCAUGGUCAU